UAACGGCUCUCUCUCUCUCUCUACUUUCUCGUCCUCUCCCCUUCUCUUAUCUUCUUCGUCUUCCUCAAAAUCGCCCUAACAUCGCCGGAUUUCUCAACUGUCGAUCGAGUGACAAUCAUGCCUGCCUGCUUGACAAAGCCUUAUCGGUCUACCAAUAAAGGAAAAACGAUUGCUGGUGACACGAAAGCUGUGCUCAACGCUCUUUUUCCUAUUCCACUGCGCGUCAUGGUCUUUCCCUUGCUGGUUGGAUGACUACUAUGGAUGAAGAGCACAACUACUUCCAGUCUCUGGUCGAUAAGUACUCAAGGAAGGUAAAUUCCAGCGGAGAAAGUCGAGAGCUCCUUAGUUGAUCACAAAUCCUUCCAAAUUCUUUGUUCGUAGACUAAUUUGAAAUCCUUCCAAUAUGGAUCCAUGUUGUCUUUUAUAUCCAUAAGAUACCAAUUAGAUUGUGUUAAUUAUUGUUUAUAAGAAAAUAUUUGUGUGCAGAGUUGCAGUGGGUAAAUCUUAAUGGCUGGCAGAAAAUUGGUUCGGGAUAUAUUACUCUCAACACAAAGUAUUUUUUAUCAGUUUACUUCCCAUCGGCAUAAAUGAAACUGUGUUUCAAGAAUCAGGUGCUGCUACAUCAUUCAAGGAAAUUCGUCGUAGAGGUCUUUCUCUUUACCAGAUUUCGUAGCUGAAGUUUAUGAAGUAAUCAAACCGGUGUUAACUUCUUAUAUAAAGGUAAAUUCCCAAACUUUGAAGAAACACUACAGUACUGAGGUAAUUGAAUUGUAAGGUAAGGCAUCGGGCUUACCAGAGCCAAGGUAUCUUCUUCGAUAACAAGG